UUCCAGACUCCUACGGGAGGCAGCAGUGGGGGAUAUUGCACAAUGGGGGAAACCCUGAUGCAGCGACGCCGCGUGAGUGAAGAAGUAAUUCGUUACGUAAAGCUCUAUCAGCAGGGAAGAAAAUGACGGUACCCAAGGAAUAAGCCCCGGCUAACUACGUGCCAGCAGCCGCGGUAAUACGUAGGGGGCAAGCGUUGUUCGGAAUGACUGGGCGUAAAGGGUGUGUAGGCGGUGUAGCAAGUUAGAAGUGAAAUACCUAGAGCUUAACUCAGGUGCUGCUUCUAAAACUGCUAUACUUGAGUGCAGUAGAGGAAAGUGGAAUUCCUAGUGUAGCGGUGGAAUGCGUAGAUAUUAGGAGGAACAUCAGUGGCGAAGGCGACUUUCUGGACUGUAACUGACGCUGAGGCACGAAAGUGUGGGGAGCAAACAGGAUUAGAUACCCUCGUAC
rnacentral:rRNA from 1 species